rnacentral:tRNA from 1 species
GCCAGCGUAGCUCAGUUGGUAGAGCAACUGACUUGUAAUCAGUGGGUCGGGGGUUCAAUUCCCUUCGCUGGCU